rnacentral:rRNA from 1 species
UGCCAGCCGCCGCGGUAAUACGAAGGGGGCUAGCGUUGUUCGGAAUUACUGGGCGUAAAGCGCACGUAGGCGGAUAUUUAAGUCAGGGGUGAAAUCCCGGGGCUCAACCCCGGAACUGCCUUUGAUACUGGGUAUCUUGAGUUCGGAAGAGGUAAGUGGAAUUGCGAGUGUAGAGGUGAAAUUCGUAGAUAUUCGCAGGAACACCAGUGGCGAAGGCGGCUUACUGGUCCGAUACUGACGCUGAGGUGCGAAAGCGUGGGGAGCAAACAGGAUUAGAUA